GCUCUGAUGCAGGCUUUUUGCUGCUGGGCCUUCCACUCCUCCAACUUUGGCAGCAGUAGCUCGAUUAGGGUAGUUAAUCGGCCUAGCAGUGCUUUGGAGGCAUCCAGCACCUCCUUUCUCCUUUUGUCCAGUUCAUUGAGAGUUUCCUGCAGAAUCUUCUGCUCUUUGGUCUGAUGGGGGUCCAGAGAGGGUGUCUUCCCUUUGGCCUGGAUCUUAUAUCGGAAGCAGAAGACAUCCUGCUGGUCUUUCAGUUGGCUGAUGGAUUUUACCAGCUUCUCCAUCAUAGCCCUUAAAUCCAGGAUCCGGGAUUCAAUCUCAUGUUGCUGGCUCUCCACAGGUGUUUCGAGAACUGGCUCUCCUUGUUCCAAUUGGGCCCUCUGAGCCUGGAUCAAAAUUCUUUUUUCUUCCAGAAGGAGGUUAAAG
rnacentral:lncRNA from 1 species